rnacentral:rRNA from 1 species
GCAUUCAGUUGCCAUCGGGUAGAGCCGGGCACUCUGAAAGGACUGCCAUCGACAAGAUGGAGGAAGGUGGGGAGUGACGUCAAGUCAUCAUGGCCCUUAUGUCCAGGGCGACACACGUGCUACAAUGGCCGGCACAACGGGAAGCGAGUUCGCGAGGACGAGCGGAUCCCUCAAAGCCGGUCGCAGUUCGGAUUGAAGUCUGCAACUCGACUUCAUGAAGCUGGAAUCGCUAGUAAUCGUGGAUCAGCCAAGCCGCGGUGAAUACGUUCCCGGGCCUU